UACGUCGGGUGCAAGCGUUGUCCGGAAUUAUUGGGCGUAAAGAGCUCGUAGGCGGUCUGUCGCGUCGGCUGUGAAAACCCGAGGCUCAACCUCGGGCCUGCAGUCGAUACGGGCAAACUAGAGUACUGCAGGGGAGACUGGAAUUCCUGGUGUAGCGGUGAAAUGCGCAGAUAUCAGGAGGAACACCGGUGGCGAAGGCGGGUCUCUGGGCAGUAACUGACGCUGAGGAGCGAAAGCGUGGGGAGCGAACAGG
rnacentral:rRNA from 1 species